AUUAGAUACCCUGGGUAGUCCACGCAGUAAACGAUGGAUACUAGGUGUGGGGGGGCUGACCCCCUCCGUGCCGCAGCUAACGCAAUAAGUAUCCCACCUGGGGAGUACGAUCGCAAGGUUGAAACUCAAAGGAAUUGACGGGGGCCCGCACAAGCGGUGGAGUAUGUGGUUUAAUUCGAAGCAACGCGAAGAACCUUACCAGGGCUCAAACGUCGCAGGACGGAGCGUGAAAGCGCCCCUUCCCUCGGGACCUGCGACGAGGUGCUGCAUGGUUGUCGUCAGCUCGUGCCGUGAGGUGUCGGCUUAAGUGCCAUAACGAGCGCAACCCCUACCGCCAGUUGCCAGCAGGUAAAGCUGGGGACUCUGGCGGGACUGCCGGCGCAAGCUGCGAGGAAGGCGGGGAUGACGUCAAAUCAGCACGGCCCUUACGUCCGGGGCGACACACGUGUUACAAUGGCAGGUACAGCGGGAAGCCACCUGGCGACAGGGCGCGGAACCCGAAAACCUGUCUCAGUUCGGAUUGGAGUCUGCAACCCGACUCCAUGAAGCUGGAUUCGCUAGUAAUCGCGCAUCAGCCACGGCGCGGUGAAUACGUUCCCGGGCCUUGUACACACCGCCCGUCAAGCCAUGGAAGCCGGGAGUGCCUGAAGUGCGUGACCGCAAGGAGCGUCCUAAGGCAAUACCGGUGACUGGGGCUAAGUCGUAACAAGGUACC
rnacentral:rRNA from 1 species